GACGAACGCUGGCGGCGUGCUUAACACAUGCAAGUCGAACGGAAAGGCCCUGCUAUUGUGGGGUGCUCGAGUGGCGAACGGGUGAGUAACACGUGAGUAACCUGCCCUUGACUUUGGGAUAACUUCAGGAAACUGGGGCUAAUACCGGAUAGGAGCUCCUGCUGCAUGGUGGGGGUUGGAAAGUUUCGGCGGGUGGGGAUGGACUCGCGGCUUACCAGCUUGUUGGUGGGGGAGCGGCUUACCAAGGCUUUGGCGGGUAGCCGGCCUGAGAGGGUGACCGGCCACAUUGGGCCUGAGAUACGGCCCAGACUGCUACGGGAGGCAGCAGUGGGGAAUAUUGUCCAAUGGGCGGAAGCCUGAUGCAGCAACGCCGCGGGCGGGAUGACGGCCUUCGGGUUGUAAACCGCUUUCGCCUGUGACGACGCGUGAGUGACGGUAAUGGGUAAAGAAGCACCGGCUAACUACGUG
rnacentral:rRNA from 1 species